UAGGCUUUGGCUUGCUGUGAGGAGGAGGUGUAGGCUUUGGCUUGCUUUGAGGAGGAGGUGUAGGUUUUGGUUUGCUGUGAGGAGGAGGUAUAGGCUUUGGCUUGCUGUGAGGCGGAGGUGUAGGUUUUGGUUUGCUGUGAGGAGGAGGUAUAGGCUUUGGCUUGCUGUGAGGGGGAGGAGUGGGCUUACUAUGAGGGGGAGGAGUAGGCUUUGGUUUCGGAGAAGGGGUAGGUUUUGGCUUAGGAGAAGGAGGAGGGUUAGAGCAAUUACAUGUCGGCUUUGCUGUGGCUAUGGCUGUGGCUGUGGCUAGGGAGAUUAGGAGGAGGUUGAGUGAAAUGAAAAGAACAACUGCUGCAUAGCUUUUGGAUCUCAUUACUUCUAGCAAAUAAGUAAUACUCAGUGAUGAGAAGUUGCAGAAACAAUAGAUGGAUUGAAUGAAUUAUAAUUGAAAUUGAUGUAGGAUAUAUAUAGGGGUUCAAAAACAUAAUAUUCCUUUUAAACCAGGUUAGAGUAAGACAGUACAGUAUUAAAAUGAUGUGAAUUGAACUGGUUCACUAAUGUGUGGCCAUUCAUAUAUCAUGUGAUGCUCAGAUCUUUGGAUUUACGUGCAGG
rnacentral:lncRNA from 1 species